AUGCAAACACACAGUCGAACAGAUGGUUCUGAAAAAUAUAGAGACAUGUUGCACUCAAUGGGAAAAGACAUAGAAUCAUUUCCUCUUCCAAAGAUCGACGAACAACAUGAGAUGACAGACGACAUACCGAGGGAGAUCAUUGAGGAAACAUCCAUCGAGGUGGAACCCGAGGACACAUCUUUGCAUAAGAACCUAAACAAGGAGCAGAAGGAGGCCUACGACGAAAUCCUAGCAACAAUUGACGACCAAAGUGGAGGUAUAUUCUUUGUCGAUGGACCUGGAGGCAUGGGAAAAACUUUUCUUUACAGGGCUCUCUUAGCCACAAUACGCAGACAAGGCAAGAUUGCUGUAGCGACAGCCACUUCCGGUGUUGCUGCUUCAAUAAUGCCCGGAGGGAGGACCGCGCAAUCGAGGUUCAAGAUUCCACUAAAAAUAGACGAGGGGGCUGUUUGUGGAUUCACAAAACAGAGUGGGACAGCCAAACUACUGAAAGCAGCAUCACUAACAAUCUGGGAUGAAGCAUCUAUGACCAAGAGGCAGACAGUGGAGGCGCUAGACAGAAGCAUGCGGGACAUAAUGGACAGGCCAGAACUUCCAUUCGGAGGAAAAACAGUCGUAUUUGGAGGGGAUUUUAGGCAAGUGCUACCUGUUGUCCGAAAGGGAACAAGAGCCCAGAUAGUAGAUUCAUCACUACGCAAGUCUGUCCUCUGGAAUUCAAUGCGUCAACUGAAGCUCGUGCGCAACAUGAGGGCUCAAAACGACCCAUGGUUCGCAGUACCUACUACGCAUUGGAAACGGAACCGAGGAGACAAAUGA
rnacentral:rRNA from 1 species